UACGGGGGGGGCAAGCGUUGUUCGGAAUUACUGGGCGUAAAGGGCUCGUAGGUGGCCAACUAAGUCAGACGUGAAAUCCCUCGGCUUAACCGGGGAACUGCAGUCGAGACUGUCUAGCUAGAGUAUGGGAGAGGGAAGUGGAAUUUCAGGUGUAGCGGUGAAAUGCGUAGAUAUCUGAAGGAACAUCAGUGGCGAAAGCGACUUCCUGGACCAAUACUGACGCUCAUGUGCGAAAGCGUGGGGAGCAAACAGG
rnacentral:rRNA from 1 species